rnacentral:rRNA from 1 species
AAUAUUGCGCAAUGGGGGGAACCCUGACGCAGCAACGCCGCGUGAGUGACGAUGGUUUUCGGAUCGUAAAGCUCUGUCAUCGGGGACGAAGAAGUGACGGUACCCGAGGAGGAAGCCCCGGCUAACUACGUGCCAGCAGCCGCGGUAAUACGUAGGGGGCGAGCGUUGCCCGGAAUUAUUGGGCGUAAAGCGCGCGCAGGCGGUUUCUUAAGUCUGAUGUGAAAGCCCACGGCUCAACCGUGGAGGGUCAUUGGAAACUGGGAAGCUUGAGUGCAGAAGAGGAGAGUGGAAUUCCAUGUGUAGCGGUGAAAUGCGUAGAGAUAUGGAGGAACACCAGUGGCGAAGGCGACUCUCUGGUCUGCAACUGACGCUGAGGCGCGAAAGCGUGGGGAGCGAACA